rnacentral:rRNA from 1 species
AGUUGUUGCGGUUAAAACGCCCGUAGUUGGAUCAGCGGAUUUGGAGAACGGUCUGCCGAUGGGCUGUACUGUUCUCCUGUCCUAUUUUCUCUAGUUCGCUCUAGGUGCUCUUCACUGAGUGUCUAGAGUGGCUGGAACUUUUACUUUGAAAAAAUUAGAGUGCUCAAAGCAGGCGUCUCAGCCUGAAUAGUGGUGCAUGGAAUAAUGGAAUAGGACCUCAGUUCUAUUUUGUUGGUUUUCGGAACAUGAGGUAAUGAUUAAGAGGGACAGACGGGGGCAUUCGUACUGCAACGUGAGAGGUGAAAUUCUUGGAUCGUUGCAAGACGAACUACUGCGAAAGCAUUUGCCAAGAAUGUUUUCAUUAAUCAAGAACGAAAGUAAUGGGUUCGAAGGCGAUCAGAUACCGCCCUAGUCAUUACCGUAAACGAUUGUAACUGGGAGCUAGCAGGAGUCCUUUGUGACUCUGCUAGAACCCACCCGGAAACGAUAAGUUUUCGAUAUCCGGGGGAAGUAUACUUGCAAAUGCGAAACUUAAAGGAAUUGACGGAAGGGCACCACCAGGGGUGGAGCCUGCGGCUUAAUUUGACUCAACACGGGGAAACUCAUCCGGUCCGGACACCGUGAGGAUUGACAGAUUGAGAGCUCUUUCUUGAUUUGGCGGGCAGUGGUGCAUGGCCGUUCUUAGUUGGUGGAGUGAUUUGUCUGGUUUAUUCCGAUAACGAACGAGACUCUGGCCUACUAACUAG